rnacentral:rRNA from 1 species
AUGGGGAGAACCACCAUGCUUCUCAUGGCGCUGGCCCUCGCCCUCAUCGCCGUCGCCCACGCGGCGCCUCCCGCGCUCCGGAAAAGCCGCUUCCUCGCGGACAAGACCCCGCCGCCGCUGUCCUACUACGACUGCGUCAGGAAGCCCCCGUCGGUGUGCCUGGAGCCCGGGAGCCCCGGGAACACGUGCUGCAAGGGCACCUGCACCAACACGCUGUCAAGCGUGGAGCACUGCGGCAACUGCAACAGGAAGUGCAAGUACGGGGACACCUGCUGCGACGGCAAGUGCGUCGACCUCCUCAAGGACAAGAAGAACUGCGGCGAGUGCUCCAACCAGUGCGCCAAGUCCGUCAAGUGCGAGUUCGGCAUGUGCGACUACGCGGGGUGA